rnacentral:rRNA from 1 species
CCUACGGGUGGCAGCAGUGAGGAAUAUUGGUCAAUGGGCGGGAGCCUGAACCAGCCAAGUCGCGUGAGGGAAGACGGUCCUAUGGAUUGUAAACCUCUGUAGGCGGGGAGCAAUGCCGGGCACGCGUGCCCGGAGGGAGAGUACCCGCAGAAUAAGCAUCGGCUAACUCCGUGCCAGCAGCCGCGGUAAUACGGGGGAUGCGAGCGUUAUCCGGAUUGAGUGGGUUUAAAGGGUUCGUAGGCGUAUUUUUAAGUCAGCGGUAAAAUGUCCGGGCUCAACCCGGGCCGGCCGUUGAAACUGGGGAUCUUGAGUGGGCGAGAAGGAUGCGGAAUGCGCGGUGUAGCGGUGAAAUGCAUAGAUAUCACGGAGAACUCCGGUGGCGAAGGCAGGAUACCGGAGACCGACUGACGCUGAGGCACGAAAGCGAGGGGAUCGAACAGGAUUAGAUACCCGGGUAGUC